CACGUAGGAGACAAGCGUUAUUCGGAUUUACUGGGCGUAAAGCGCGUGCAGGCGGUCUGACAAGUUGGAUGUGAAAGCUCCCGGCUUAACUGGGAGAGGUCGUUCAAGACUAUCAGACUUGAGAGUGGUAGAGGGAGGCGGAAUUCCGGGUGUAGUGGUGAAAUGCGUAGAUAUCCGGAGGAACACCAGUGGCGAAAGCGGCCUCCUGGCCCAUUUCUGACGCUCAGACGCGAAAGCUAGGGUAGCAAAC
rnacentral:rRNA from 1 species